rnacentral:rRNA from 1 species
CGAGCGGGCGAGGUUGCUUCGGUAACUGAGCUAGCGGCGGACGGGUGAGUAAAGCUUAGGAAUCUGCCUAUUAGUGGGGGACAACAUUCCGAAAGGGAUGCUAAUACCGCAUACGUCCUACGGGAGAAAGCAGGGGAUCACUUGUGACCUUGCGCUAAUAGAUGAGCCUAAGUCGGAUUAGCUAGUUGGUGGGGUAAAGGCCUACCAAGGCGACGAUCUGUAGCGGGUCUGAGAGGAUGAUCCGCCACACUGGGACUGAGACACGGCCCAGACUCCUACGGGAGGCAGCAGUGGGGAAUAUUGGACAAUGGGGGGAACCCUGAUCCAGCCAUGCCGCGUGUGUGAAGAAGGCCUUUUGGUUGUAAAGCACUUUAAGCGAGGAGGAGGCUUACCUGGUUAAUACCUGGGAUAAGUGGACGUUACUCGCAGAAUAAGCACCGGCUAACUCUGUGCCAGCAGCCGCGGUAAUACAGAGGGUGCGAGCGUUAAUCGGAUUUACUGGGCGUAAAGCGCGCGUAGGUGGUUAAUUAAGUCAAAUGUGAAAUCCCCGAGCUUAACUUGGGAAUUGCAUUCGAUACUGGUUAGCUAGAGUAUGGGAGAGGAUGGUAGAAUUCCAGGUGUAGCGGUGAAAUGCGUAGAGAUCUGGAGGAAUACCGAUGGCGAAGGCAGCCAUCUGGCCUAAUACUGACACUGAGGUGCGAAAGCAUGGGGAGCAAACAGGAUUAGAUACCCUGGUAGUCCAUGCCGUAAACGAUGUCUACUAGCCGUUGGGGGAUUUGAUCCUUUAGUGGCGCAGCUAACGCGAUAAGUAGACCGCCUGGGGAGUACGGUCGCAAGACUAAAACUCAAAUGAAUUGACGGGGGCCCGCACAAGCGGUGGAGCAUGUGGUUUAAUUCGAUGCAACGCGAAGAACCUUACCUGGCCUUGACAUAGUAGAGACUUUCCAGAGAUGGAUUGGUGCCUUCGGGAA